rnacentral:rRNA from 1 species
GGGAUGAGCUCAAAUUUGAAAGCUGGCNGCAAUGUCCGCGUUGUAAUCUCGAGAGAUGUUUUCCGCGUUGGACCACGUACAAGUUCCUUGGAAUAGGAUGUCAUAGAGGGUGAAAAUCCCGUACUUGAUGUGGACGCCCAGUGCUUUGUGAUACGUCUUCGAAGAGUCGAGUUGUUUGGGAAUGCAGCUCAAAAUGGGUGGUAAAUUCCAUCUAAAGCUAAAUAUUGGGGAGAGACCGAUAGCGAACAAGUACCGUGAGGGAAAGAUGAAAAGCACUUUGGAAAGAGAGUUAAACAGUACGUGAAAUUGUCAAAAGGGAAGCAUUUGAAGUCAGACGUGUAUUGCAGUAUUCAGCCUUGCUUUUGCUUGGUGUAUUUGCUGUAUUACAGGCCAACAUCAGUUUUGAAUGACGGAUAAGGGUAGAGAGAAUGUGGCAUCCUCGGAUGUGUUAUAGCUCUUUACUGGAUACGUCGUAUGGGACUGAGGAACGCAGCGCGCCGCAAGGCAGACCUUCGGGUACUUUCGCGCUUAGGAUGUUGGCGUAAUGGCUUUAAGUGACCCGUCUUGAAACACGGACCAAGGAGUCUAACAUGUCUGCGAGUCUUUGGGUGGCAAACCCGUGGGCGCAAUGAAAGUGAAUGCAGGUGGGAUCCGCAAGGAGCACCAUCGACCGAUCUUGAUCUUUUGUGACGGAUUUGAGUAAGAGCAUAUAUGUUGGGACCCGAAAGAUGGUGAACUAUGCCUGAAUAGGGUGAAGCCAGAGGAAACUCUGGUGGAGGCUCGUAGCGGUUCUGACGUGCAAAUCGAUCGUCAAAUUUGGGUAUAGGGGCGAAAGACUAAUCGAACCAUUAAAUUAUACUAGGUGGUUAAGAGGCGACUGAAAGUGCGUCUAGUUGGCAUCAAGGCCGG